GGUCUGUGAUGGGUGUUGGCAUGUAUUAUCUGAGCAUAAAUCUGAAGAUGGUGGGUUUAGCUCUAGAAUUAUUCUGAGACCUG
rfam:Aptenodytes forsteri contig6892, whole genome shotgun sequence.